rnacentral:snRNA from 1 species
ACACUUGCUUGGCAGGGGAGAGACCAUGAUCAAAGAGAUGGUCUUUCCUGGGUAAUGUUUAUUAUUUGGAUGUGCUUGACUGAGUAAUUUUUGGUAGUGGGGGAAUGUAUUCUUGCUCCUGAU